UACAGAGGUGGCAAGCGUUGUUCGGAAUUACUGGGCGUAAAGGGCGCGUAGGCGGCCUUGUAAGUCCUGUGUGAAAUCCCCCGGCUCAACUGGGGAACUGCACAGGAGACUGCUUGGCUUGAGUUCGGGAGAGGGAAGCGGAAUUCCGGGUGUAGCGGUGAAAUGCGUAGAUAUCCGGAGGAACGCCGGUGGCGAAGGCGGCUUCCUGGACCGACACUGACGCUGAGGCGCGAAAGCCAGGGGAGCAAACGGG
rnacentral:rRNA from 1 species